GGAUGGGAGGGCAAUCGGGCUAUUAUAUCAGUUACCCCUUGAUCGCCAAGGUUGGUUCAACUGAUCUGGCUGGCUAAGUGGGUGUCCCCUUCCUCCCUCACAGCUCCAUAUGCGUACUGCCUGAAGCCACGCGCUCGGUCAAAGGGGACGCCCUUCCUGGAAUGGAGGAGGGCCAGUCUUGGGUCGAGUGUGUACGAGUAGCUGUGUGCCACCAUUAGAGCCUCCAACAAGCUCUCAAGGCUCAUUUGCAGGAGAACGUAGGGUAGCCAAGCUUCCAAGACUCCAGGCACAUCCAAAUGAGGGGCUGCAUGUGGCAGCCUGCCUUUCUUU
rnacentral:snRNA from 1 species